ensembl:snoRNA LOC120095415 small nucleolar RNA SNORA44
GUGUGUGUUGAACUUAAGAGUUGAACACCAACUGCAUGCCAGAGUAACGGAGAGACUUUGACAGCCCAGGUUAUCACAGUGCCUGCUGUUGCCACUCAGCUCUCCUAUAUGU